GAGACACUUGGGUGGGGAGCUGUGGGAACAGAGAAGGGAGACACAGUUUCACAGAGAGUGAGGGAGGCUGAGUUGGGGGUGGAUUUUAGAGAAGUCAACAGCACUGGAUGUGAAGUAGUUUAAGAGAAGCUUUAUGGUGGAGAAGGGGUAAAGAAUAUAAGUGAUAUUUUUGUUGUUUUGGAGAAAACGAUCCAGAGUAAAGGAAGAAAGCAAACAUGAGAAAGAGAUAGGAGAGACAGAAAUUUUUAUUUUGUGGGGCUAACACAUAGAGAUAUCUGGUGUAUGUGUCGGGGGUAGGGUGAGGGAGUUACAAGACAUCACUAUAUUCUGUAAUUGACUGCCACAAAUGUUAUUUUCCUGAACACAUUACUAAGUGCCUUUCUACUUUCAGUUAGAUAUGUAAAUGAUCAUCAUCAUUUUUCUUCUAUCCAAACUGGGGGAUAUAAUUGUGGGUUUGUGGGAGCUCACCUAAGGAGAGGAGAUGUACUGACGACUGAAGUUUUGUUAGAUUCCUGGUCAACUUACAGUUUUUUUGGAGGAGCAGACUGGAGAAUGGUGGAAGAACGGUUGUGCGGUUCACCCUCUCAGCCUUUAGAAAAAUGAGAAGGUGAGCUCUGAUAUAGUGCUUUAGUGCACGGACUCAGAAAGUGGAUGAGCUAAGACAUUCAUGAAGCUGUGUAAGAGAGAAAGGCUCAUCACCUUUGCAGAUGACACAAGCCUUUUAUGCGGGAAUCAAAGAAGAACAUGAGAGGCCAGAACACCGGAUUGAAACCAGCAAUUUGACCUUUAAAAGGUAUAAAGUACUGCUUUUAGGUUUAAAUAGUUAACUGCACAAGCCAGAGACACACAGCUUGGUAGCACACUUCUAGCAAAAAAUCCUUUGCUUUUAAUUGACUGCAAGAUCAAUUUAUCUCCGAGUAGCCCAUGAGAGCUAAUACAUGAAACCCAAACUUAGCUUUACUAAUUGGUACAUAGUAGGGGUGCUACUCUUUUCUGCUGGUGUGAAAUCAUAACUGAAAUUUUGGACUCAGUUUCUAAUAAAAAUUUAGGAAGAACCUUAAUCAAUUGUAACUGCAGAAAAAAAAUCACAUGAUUUUGAGUGAAUUAAAUAUCAUGUUUUCUCAUUUUAUAAGCUAUGGUUAAAAAACUGGAUAUAUCCCAGAAAAAUGAAUUUUUAGAAAUUCGGUGGAACUGUGAUCUGAGAAAAUGGUUGUGAAAAUGGGA
rnacentral:lncRNA from 10 species